UCUCUCGCGCGCGCGUUCUCUCUCUCUCUCUCUUUCGCACGCUCGGUCACUCUAUGCGUGUAGGUGCUAUUGGGAUUGUCAUUGAGACCUGAAACGGAAGGGCAUCUGAGUCACGAGCUUUAUCGACUAACUGCGCAAAAAUGCCUCGAGCGAAAACAUCGCUAAUACACCGGCCACUCGACCAACCAAUCAACCGACCGACCGACCAUCGAACAAAUGCUGGGAACGUAUAUUUUGAUCACAUUAGCUUCCUCUCUCUUUAUUCCCGUUUGAACAUCAACUACCUUUGGAAUAUCACACUUUGUCGCCACACCCACAUCUUUCUUCGUUUCUUUGCAUCUCUCUCUCUCUCUCUUCCUCCCUUCACUCACUCCCUCCCUCCCUCUUCCUCAUCUCUAUUAGACACCAAGAGACACUUAUAAAAAGAACGACGCGUAUGCAGGGGGUAAACAAGACAUUUGUUAUCUAUAAAUACGCAAGGAGCUUAUAUAUGUACAGGUGCCAGCCGUCACUGUAGCAUUUGUUUGAGCGAUCUUUAUAAGAGAAAUGAGAGAAGAAAACGGGAGAGAGAAUGACACUUUGAUCUUGAUAUUUUUACACAAUAAGACACGAGACAGUUAAUGUGAUAAUUAAUCGAGAUCAGGAAAUUGGAGAGGCUUGUUACGAACCGAAAUUACAGAGAACGAUUAUAGUGUAACUUAACAGUACUGCGAACGAGAUUAGAAGGCUAGACAGGGUAUAGUAUACGGUAGACAGGACGGCAGACUGCAAAGCAAAGGGUUAAGUAAGUGAUGCACCCCAUUCAACUCACUGUUUCUUUCUCUUUUUCUUUUUCUCCGUCUAUUGCUCUAUCUAUCUCUAUUUCACAUUACGGCGAUAACGAUUAUCUACAUUAGAAGACCGUCCAAGGCAGUUACGACGAAAAGACGUGUAGGAGAUCUCGUAUACACAAUGCUACUGGCAAAGUCGAUUAUGGUGAAUCGUUGAAGCAAUUCACGGAAUCACGACUUGCUAACUAAUGUGUCCGAUGAUAUAACGAAUUACGAGAGAGUAUCCGCAACAUCAACAAGUAGUAAUAGCUCGAACGAACUCUUCCAUUAUCUUAUUAAAUCCACUAAAGAAAGAGAAAUAGAAAAAGAAAGAGAGAGAGAGAGAGAGAGAGAGAGAGAGAGAGAAAAUAUCGAUAUUUUCUCGACUCGGGAAACUUUCUCACGUCAGUUUUAUAUACGAUGCACACCAAGUGUAAAAUGCGACGUAGACGGACAUGUAAUCGGACGAUCUCGUUCAACGGGAGAUGAAAAAUUCCCGUAAAUAAUAUCUACGUGUCUCUGAUAGCUAAGAAUACGCUGUCAACAUAUACGUUCCACGAAAUGACACGGGUGAGAUUUUAUUUUCAAUAUGAAAAAAGUAAAUUAAAUUGUGUACAAGCGAGUGCUGUUCUUAGAUAUCCUUUCUCCUUUCUCCUUCGUUCGGUUUUCCUUCCGUUCUCAGAUUUCGUAAGUAAUCACAUAGUGCGGUUCUGUAAUUAUUUUCGAAAUCGAAUGGAUAACAAUCGUUUCUUGAGUUUAUUGGUCAUCAAUAAUCGAUAAGACCGGGAGUAGUAUCUUGAAGGAUUAAAAGUUUUUUGAUAUUGAUCCAUUGUUUCGUGACUGUUCUUUUAACAAGCACUUACCUUUUUCAAAUGUAGUACAUUCCAUUUACUUUCGUCUUCAAUUUCUAGUCGAAUUUAUUUUACGAUUCUAUAUAAACGUACAUUAAAAGGACAGCGAACGUAUUAAAGAGAAAGGAGGAUUGACCCUCGAAAGAUGGUUCCGUCUUUGACGUCUCACCAUGUCCUUGAACGACGCGGAUGGGAUUCCUCGAUUCGCUUCACGAAUUACUAGAGACGUGAAGAUCCUUCCAAGGAAGCUAUGAAGGAACGUUAGCAGCUGCCACAUGCGAUUGCAUGCGAUAAAGUGAAGAAAAUGAGAUGGAUAAGGAGAAGGGGAAGUGAGAGAGAGAGAGAGAGAGAGAGAGAGAGAGAGAGAGAGAGAGAGAAUUAUUUGACUUUGAAAUGUCGAGCUAUCUGACUAUGCAGAAACAUACGAAUAUCUUCGUGGAUCAGUUCUAAUAAACUUAAAAAUGAUAAUGAAUGAAGGAUCUGAUGUGUUUUCGGUCACAAAUUGUUAAAACAUUAAUUGUUACAAUGACGUUUGAAAUAUGAAUAUAAAUUAAAAUUAACUGACAGAAAGGAAAAAGAUUAAGGGUUGUAAAAAAAAAAAAGGAAAGAAAAAAAGAUUUGCUUUUCUACAUUUCGAAAUGACGCAGAAUAAGAGUCGUUUCUACCGAGAAGAAUCUGGGGACCGGUUCUUACGGCAGGUUUUUACCUCUACUAUUAAUAAACGUUAUAAGUACAUACAACAGACAAUGAACGAGGAAAGAGGAUAAAAAUUUGGUGUAUGUCACGCUAUUCGUUCAUUCGUUUGCUCAUCUCUACGUGUAUCGCAUUGCAAGGCAAAAAUUUAUUCGCAUUAUGGUCUUAGUUCUCACGUGCAUUUAUGCGCCAAUUUUAAUUAUAUGCUAAUAAAGAUCAUUCCUACUGCAAGAAACGACAACUCGAUUCGUUAAUUAAACCAGAAAUGGCAUUAAAAAAAAACAUGAGUCCCCUUUCUCCCAUCACAUCUUUAUCUUGAUGCUAAACUCGAUUACGAUUUUUCAUCUAUUUCAUGAAAUAAAUCUGCUAUAAUAAAUAUAGGUGUAUCUACGAGAAAAAAGAAAAAGGACCAACAUUUUCCCGUAGGAUAUAAACACUCGGAAAGGAAAGUACUGUAUUCUAUGAAAGUAGAUAAAUAAUCACGCUAUAUUAUCUCAAUAUUUCAGACACGAUCAUGAGGCUCCGGAGUAAUACUUCGUUCAUGAUUAAUUAACCCUUUGAAUCGUUCCAACACGAAUCGGGUCACGUUGAAACGUUAGCAAACAGGAGCAAUCUCACUUCUUUCCUUUGGCAAGAAAAAAAAAAAAAAAAAAAAAAAAAAAAUUUCUAAAAUAAAAUUUACUCAUCUCCUUAUUUUCUAAUAUCAAACUUUCUAUUCUCUUCCUGUUUAUUUUAGCGCAAUAUGUAUUUCACCCUUGAUCUCGAUCAAAAUUCGAUUGAAAAAAGUUUCGAUUGAAAGAAAUUUAUCUGAAAGUUUUCCUGCAACUAAUAUUAAGGAGGUGACUGUUCACCGUGACACGUGUAUGUGUUUUACCUUGACGCGUAUCUUUCUUUCAUUAUCGCGACUUUCCCCUACUUCUUUUCGUAUAAAUCUAACAAUCGUGCGACAAGGCAAUACGUGUAUCAUAUUAAAAGAUUUCGAGUUUAUACAUUAAUCUUUCACCAAACAUAGAUUUCAAACGAUAAAUCUCUUUCUAUACGAGUAUUUCCAAAGAAAAUACAAAUUCCUUAUAGCAAAAGCUUUUAAUUGCUACGUCCGCAAUGAUGAAAUUAUACUGACCGAGUAAACAACAAACGUAUGUUCGAAAGAUAAAAUUCUUAUCACUUAAUUCUCUCAUUCCAUUUCUUAUAACAAAAAAAGAAAAACAAUAAAAAAAGGAAU